rnacentral:rRNA from 1 species
AUUGAACGCUGGCGGCAUGCCUUACACAUGCAAGUCGAACGGCAGCACGGGAGCAAUCCUGGUGGCGAGUGGCGAACGGGUGAGUAAUAUAUCGGAACGUGCCCGGUCGUGGGGAUAACGUAGCGAAAGCUACGCUAAUACCGCAUACGAUCUACGGAUGAAAGCGGGGGAUCGCAAGACCUCGCGCGAUUGGAGCGGCCGAUAUCAGAUUAGGUAGUUGGUGAGGUAAAGGCUCACCAAGCCGACGAUCUGUAGCUGGUCUGAGAGGACGACCAGCCACACUGGGACUGAGACACGGCCCAGACUCCUACGGGAGGCAGCAGUGGGGAAUUUUGGACAAUGGGCGCAAGCCUGAUCCAGCAAUGCCGCGUGCAGGAUGAAGGCCUUCGGGUUGUAAACUGCUUUUGUACGGUAACGAAACGGUGAGCUCUAAUACAGUUUGCUAAUGACGGUACCGUAAGAAUAAGC